rnacentral:rRNA from 1 species
GUCUACGGCCAUACCACCCUGAACGCGCCCGAUCUCGUCUGAUCUCGGAAAGCUAAGCAGGGUCGGGCCCGGUUAGUACUUGGAUGGGAGACCGCCUGGGAAUACGGGUGCUGUAGGCU